UACAGAGGGGGCAAGCGUUGUUCGGAAUUACUGGGCGUAGAGGGCGCGUAGGCGGCCUGUUAAGUCGAACGUGAAAUCCCCGGGCUCAACCCGGGAACUGCGUCCGAUACUGGCAGGCUUGAAUCCGGGAGAGGGAUGCGGAAUUCCAGGUGUAGCGGUGAAAUGCGUAGAUAUCUGGAGGAACACCGGUGGCGAAGGCGGCAUCCUGGACCG
rnacentral:rRNA from 1 species